rnacentral:ncRNA from 1 species
GCAGAGUAGGUACGUCGCGUUAAGUGCCGCGAAAUGGGAUGUCGUUCGCGGACGAAAGGGAAACCUGCGGUGGCGUGCCGCGUCCGUUG